CUUAAGGAAGCUGGGAAAUACUGAUGGAGUAGGAAUUCCAAAAACUUGGGCUUUCUCUCCUUGCCAUAGUGGCCGGGCGAACAGAGCGCAGCAAAGAGCCUUGAGCGAUUUAACCAGUGGGAAGUGUGUGAGACACUCCAUGGUACCCACCAUUUUCAACUCGGGCAAAACCAACUGUCCGCGUGGGAAACUGCUGUUUGUGUGCCACAGGAAGCUACAAAUAGGAAUGACACAGAGUCAUUUGAGAUAGUAUGCAAUAUGAAAAAGCAGCCAUAUGCUUGCUCUUGUGAAACGCUAUUCUCCUCUCUGGUCAGAGAACAAAACAGGUGACUCCCCAGAGCACUUGCACCUGCUGCACCUCCCAGGACAGACACCCAGGUCAAGAAGCAUAGCUGCAAGCAAACUGUGCUCCCACCCAGGGUAUCCUGGGAAGGGGAGCUCACUUAGAGGAGCAGGAGAGACUGACUUUUUUACUCUUCCAAUUAAGUCAUUCAAAAGGUUUUCAGUAAGUGCAUGAAACCACGAACAUACUUGUUUCCCAACAGGCUGACUUCUCUGAAGGGAAGGACAAGGUCGUCCCCAUCUCUUGAAUCCCAGCACCCAGCACAGUGCUUGCAUAGGACAGAGGGCCAAUAAAUGUUAAAACGCGUACUCUGAAAGGGAUGGAAAGAAUCUACCCUACCAGAUAGCUGAGGCAGUUAUUGAGAAAAUCUUUCUCUGUGGAACUGAAAUGACAACUUCUAUGUUCCUCAUUAUGGCUAAACACCCCCCAUGCGAUGGAAUGUUCUAUAGCAGUAAACAAGUUUCCGCAAAGAAACAAAGGAGGGGUUGAGGUGGACUGAGCCAGAAGCGCAGCGGUUCUCUG